UAAUCGAGAUAGAUUGGCCCAUUUUUAACGAGCCCGAGCCUCUUUCUAAAUACACUGCUUCCGAGUCGUCUCCGUCUCUUCGCCUUCAAGAUCAUCGCUCCGACUUCUGCAAUCCAACAGCUUCCAUCGAACAACUAUAUACGACCUCCAUACAACAAAUUGCAUUACAAAGAGCUCAAAAAAACUCAAAAGAGCUAGACGUCGUACCGCUGCAGUGGCCGAUUAUCGGAAAAAACUCAAAUAGCUCGAGUCCCGAGUUCGAACAGCUAGGGAUGACUUGAGAGGAUCUAAAAAGGAAUUCAACAAAACUGAAGAUGAUCUCAAGUCUCUCCAAAGUGUUGGUCAGAUCAUCGGAGAAGUCCUUCGACCUCUCGAUAAUGAAAGAUUGAUUGUCAAAGCUAGCAGCGGUCCUCGGUAUGUGGUAGGCUGCCGUAGCAAAGUGGAUAAGGAGAAGCUGAUCUCAGCAACUCGAGUUGUUCUUGAUAUGACCACACUAACAAUUAUGAGAGCCCUUCCCCGAGAAGUAAGAUCCUUGCAUCUGAUCCUCUCCAGCAGCCAUUUUCACCCCUGACAUCCCUUCCAAUCAUCCUAGCACAAGAGAAACCAAGAAGAAAAACAACAUCAAUGUCAUGCAUAUAUAAAGGAAGAGAAAGAAUUAUGAGUUAUGAGACAGCUCAGUCAUUGUAGAGAACUAUAAUUUGCUCCAAUAAUAAACAGUGGUCAACAGAUAUUGUUUGAGCUCUUGGCCUAGGUGGAAUUGCCGUAGGAAUGAUAAAAGAAAAAAUACUUGGUUUAGGCAAGUAUAUGCUAUUCAAAGAAAUACAUCUUUUUGAUUCCUCUGAGCCAUUUUGAAGCUUGAAGGCGUUUACUCAGCAUUUGAGUAUAUAUGUGGGUGAUGCUGAAGAAGUAUCACAACACUAUAAAUUGAUGUCAAGACAUACAAGAGAUUGUUUGGGAGUGUCCUUUAGAUGUUACGCCUACAUAUCCGUUUCAGGUUAAGAGUAUGUGCAGUUGUCUGAUUGUCUCAUUGAAACGCUUAACAAAGAUGAAGUGUACUGAUUAGCUGUUGCAACUGCAAAUUCCUCCCUGAACAAGCCUCCUGCUACUCAUCAUUACAGUGCCUUUCAAACCCACACACCAUCAAUGGCCACCUUGAACCUUAUGUUCUCUGACUUGAAAGCUGGUUGUUGUGCCAACACGGUCGAAGCCUGACUUCUUAGGUUCGGUGCGGCCUGUAAUGUGAAGAAAGGGAGAGAGCUCAUAAGACCGACAUGCUGUAUCGUCAUCAUUUCAUCAUUAGUUAACUAUCAUAAUGGUCCAGUUUUUGGUUGGGUCACAAAACCUUUGAUGGGUCUCACGUUUGGUGGGUCACUCCCAACUAAAUUUUGUAAAUUUUUUUUAUUCACAGCAACUUUUGUUUCAUGGUCGAAAGCUCAAAUCCACGUCAGUCAGUUGCCUCCGAUGGGUCUUCUUCAUCUCCUUCUAUUGUAUUCUUUUCUAUAUUGUUUCUAUAUUGUAAAAUACAUGUAUUAGCCUACCACUUCUUCUCUGAUUCAAACUGUUUUCACAAAUCAAAUUCACCAGUUUUGUAUAUUAUAAGUUAGCUGUUUUUUUUGUUUUUCGUCUAGAAAUUUGAGUUCAUUCAUGUUCAUGUUUAUUUAUAAAGAUCUAUAAUAUUUUUUUUUCUACG